UAGGGAAUCUUCCGCAAUGGGCGAAAGCCUGACGGAGCAACGCCGCGUGAGUGAUGAAGGUCUUCGGCUCGUAAAACUCUGUUAUUAGGGAAGAACAAAUGUGUAAGUAACUAUGCACGUCUUGACGGUACCUAAUCAGAAAGCCACGGCUAACUACGUGCCAGCAGCCGCGGUAAUACGUAGGUGGCAAGCGUUAUCCGGAAUUAUUGGGCGUAAAGCGCGCGUAGGCGGUUUUUUAAGUCUGAUGGGAAAGCCCACGGCUCAACCGUGGAGGGUCAUUGGAAACUGGAAAACUUGAGUGCAGAAGAGGAAAGUGGAAUUCCAUGUGUAGCGGUGAAAUGCGCAGAGAUAUGGAGGAACACCAGUGGCGAAGGCGACUUUCUGGUCUGUAACUGACGCUGAUGUGCGAAAGCGUGGGGAUCAAACAGG
rnacentral:rRNA from 1 species